rnacentral:rRNA from 1 species
UACAGGGGGUGCGAGCGUUAUUCGGAAUCACUGGGCGUAAAGAGCGCGUAGGCGGUUUGCUAAGUCUAAUGUGAAAGCCCUGGGCUCAAUCCAGGAAGUGCGUUGGAUACUGGCAAGCUUGAGUAUAGGAGGGGUGAGCGGAAUUCCCGGUGUAGAGGUGAAAUUCGUAGAUAUCGGGAGGAACAACAGUGGCGAAGGCGGCUCACUAGACUAUUACUGACGCUGAGGCGCGAAAGCGUGGGGAGCAAACAGG